rnacentral:rRNA from 1 species
AAACUCAAAGGAAUUGACGGGACCCGCACAAGCGGUGGAUGAUGUGGUUUAAUUCGAUGCAACGCGAAAAACCUUACCCACCUUUGACAUGGCAGGAAUCCUGAAGAGAUUUGGGAGUGCUCGAAAGAGAACCUGCACACAGGUGCUGCAUGGCUGUCGUCAGCUCGUGUCGUGAGAUGUUGGGUUAAGUCCCGCAACGAGCGCAACCCUUGCCAUUAGUUGCUACGAAAGGGCACUCUAAUGGGGCUGCCGGUGACAAACCGGAGGAAGGUGGGGAUGACGUCAAGUCCUCAUGGCCCUUAUAGGUGGGGCUACACACGUCAUACAAUGGCCGGUACAGAGGGUAGCCAACCCGCGAGGGGGAGCCAAUCCCACAAAGCCGGUCGUAGUCCGGAUCGCAGUCUGCAACUCGACUGCGUGAAGUCGGAAUCGCUAGUAAUCGCGGAUCAGCAUGUCGCGGUGAAUACGUUCCCGGGUCUU